GACGAACGCUGGCGGCGUGCUUAACACAUGCAAGUCGAACGGAAAGGCCCUGCUUUUGUGGGGUGCUCGAGUGGCGAACGGGUGAGUAACACGUGAGUAACCUGCCCUUGACUUUGGGAUAACUUCAGGAAACUGGGGCUAAUACCGGAUAGGAGCUCCUGCUGCAUGGUGGGGGUUGGAAAGUUUCGGCGGUUGGGGAUGGACUCGCGGCUUAUCAGCUUGUUGGUGGGGUAGUGGCUUACCAAGGCUUUGACGGGUAGCCGGCCUGAGAGGGUCACCGGCCACGUUGGGACUGAGAAACGGCCCAGACUCGUACGGGAGGCAGCAGUGGGGAAUAUUGCGCAAUGGGCGGAAGCCUGAGGCAACAACGCCGCGUGCGGGAUGACGGCCUUCGGGUUGUAAACCGCUUUCGCCUGUGACGAAGCGUGAGUGACGGUAAUGGGUAAAGAAGCACCGGCUAACUACGUG
rnacentral:rRNA from 1 species